UACAGAGGGGGCAAGCGUUGUUCGGAAUUACUGGGCGUAAAGGGCGCGUAGGCGGCCUGUUAAGUCGGACGUGAAAUCCCUCGGCUCAACCGGGGAACUGCGUCCGAUACUGGCGGGCUUGAAUUCGGGAGAGGGAUGUGGAAUUCCAGGUGUAGCGGUGAAAUGCGUAGAUAUCUGGAGGAACACCGGUGGCGAAGGCGGCAUCCUGGACCGGCAUUGACGCUGAGGAGCGAAAGCCAGGGGAGCAAACGGG
rnacentral:rRNA from 1 species